rnacentral:lncRNA from 1 species
UCACCGUGCGCCGCGCACUCGAACCCGCGCCCGCCCUCCGCCACGGCGAACUGCGCGUGCACCUCCGUCCACGCGCCACCGUCGCCUGCUCCUCCUCCGUGGCCGCCGCCGCCGCGCCGCGUCCACAGAUGUUCCGACGGGAGGGGCCCCGAGCAGUCGGUCGGGGCGGCUGUGCGGCUGCGGCGGCUGCUGACGAGCACCGGGCUGGACGCGGAUAUGGGAGGGGGAGGGAAGGCAACGUGGCGUCCGUGGCAGUCGUCGAGGAGGGCGUCGGGGGAGGAGGUAGCGGGAGGAAGGUGUGCAACGGCGGCGGCGGGGGGGGGGGGGGGGGGGGGGGAAGGGCGCGACGGCCGCUGCGACGCCGACGUGCACUGCCAGCGGAUGAUCCAGGCCGACCCGACGAACCCGCUGCUGCUCGGCAACUACGCGAGGUUUCUCAAGAAGGUGGAGAGGGACGCAGCGAGAGCGCAGGAGUACUGCGAGCACGCCAUCGUCGCCAACCCCGGCGACGGCGACGCCCUCGCGCUCUACGCGGGCCUCGUCUGGGAGACCACCCGCGACACUGACCGCACCGACGCCUACUUCACCCGCGGGAGGGGCCCCGCCACCGCUCGCCCGCCGCCGCCAAGCCGACUGCUCGACGUUGCCGCACCGUGAUUCCUCCGAC